AGCGAACGCUGGCGGCGUGCUUAACACAUGCAAGUCGAGCGAAGGUGUUUCAAGGGUAACCUUGAGAUACACUUAGCGGCGGACGGGUGAGUAAUACGUGGAUAACUUACCUCUAGGCCUGGGAUAACCCCGGGAAACUGGGGCUAAUACCUGAUAAGACCACAUUGUCUACGGACAAAGGGGUAAAAGGUGGCUGUGCAAACAGCUAUCGCCAAAAGNUAGGUUCACGUCCCAUCAGGCAGUGGUGAGGUAAUGGCUCACCAAACCAAAGACGGGUAGCCGGCCUUGGCGGGUGAACGGCCACACGGGGACUGAGACACGGCCCCGACUCCUACGGGAGGCAGCAGUGGGGAAUAUUGGGCAAUGGGCGCAAGCCUGACCCAGCGACGUCGCGUU
rnacentral:rRNA from 1 species